UACGAAGGGUGCAAACGUUGCUCGGAAUUAUUGGGCGUAAAGCGCACGUAGGCGGCUUUGCAAGUCGGAUGUGAAUCCCUCGGCUUAACCAAGGAAGUGCAUCCGAAACUGCAGAGCUUGAGUACUUAAGAGGAUCGCGGAAUUCCCGGUGUAGAGGUGAAAUUCGUAGAUAUCGGGAGGAACACCAGUGGCGAAGGCGGCGAUCUGGGAAGAUACUGACGCUGAGGUGCGAAAGCGUGGGGAGCAAACAGG
rnacentral:rRNA from 1 species